AGCCAAUAGAUACCCGGGUAGUCCUGGCCCUAAACGUUGAGGACUAGGUAGUAGCCCCGGGUAUGGGGUUACUGCCGGAGCGAAAAAGUGCUAAAGUCCUCCGCCUGGGGAGUAUGGUCGCGAGGCUGAAACUCAAAGGAAUUGACGGGGGGCUCACACAAGCGGUGGAGCAUGUGGCUUAAAUUCGAGGCUACGCGAAGAACCUUAUCCCGGACUUGACAUGUGCGAAAGCGCCUGCAGGUAGGACCCGGAAACGGGGACGAACGGUACCCAACCCGGAAGCAGGCACAGGUGCUGCAUGGCUGUCGUCAGCUCGUGUCGUGAGAUGUCGGGUUAAGUCCCAUAACGAGCGAAACCCUUACCCUCAGUUGCCACCCG
rnacentral:rRNA from 1 species